AAAAUUCAAGAAAAAUAGAAAAUCAAGGAAAUAAAAUGUUGAAAAUAAAAAUCAUAUGAACAAAAAUAAAAGAAAAUUUUAGAAAUUAUUUUGGUAUGUUUUUGUUGUAAAAUGAUAUUUUAUGAAUUUUAAAAGAAAAUGAAAUAUAAAAUGAAAAAAGAAAAAAAUCAUAAAAAACCACGGAGCGUUGGAUCUGACUUCAC
rnacentral:lncRNA from 1 species